AGCAGUAGCCGCGGGAAUACAGAGGAUGCAAGCGUUAUCCGGAAUGAUUGGGCGUAAAGGGAGCGUAGACGGUUAAACAAGUCUGAAGUGAAAUGCCGGGGCUCAACCCCGGAGCUGCUUUGGGAACUGUAGAACUGGAGUGUCGGAGGGGUAAGCGGAAUUCCCAGUGCAGCGGUGAAAUGCGUAGAUAUUGGGAGGAACACCGGCGGCGAAGGCGGCUUACUGGACGACAACUGACGUUGAGGCUCGAAGGCGUGGGUAGCAAACAGGAUUAGAUACCCCCGUAGUCCCUGUCUCUUAUAC
rnacentral:rRNA from 1 species